CAUUGUGGGAUUGGGAAAACAUGAUGGUGAUAGAUUGUCUAAAACUAAUAGGAGUACUGGUAUUUCUCAAAACAAAACUGAUAGUUACAAAGAAACAGAAGAAAAGGGAAGAUAUUAAUUUACUAGACAAAAGGCUGUUCUUUUGAAAUAUGGAGAUGGGCAAAAUUCAAAGUAGUAGUAUUCAAAACAGAGAAGAACAUAAGCUAAAGAAAAAAAUAGACAUUGAAAUAAAAAAAGAACAGUAAAGUUCUCAAAGAGAACUUACUUAAUAAUUUUAAUUAGUGUUUAUAUUGUAAUGUAAAAAAUGUAAUGUAUGUUAUUUCUGAAUAAAAGACAUUUAAUAAUGA